CCCACCAAGUCCUGCCACACCCAAAUGCUUUCUAGGCUCAGUCAUGCCAUAAUAUUUUGUUGGACUGUACACAAUGAUCCCAGCACAUAAAAGUGGUGCACCCGCAUCGGGGGCUAAGUUAUCUGGAAAGCGGAGCAUAUAGCGAUGGUUAACAACAAUCAUAUCAGAAUAACCACCAUAAGUUUUUGUUCGGUCGUGAUCGAGUGAGUUAUAGGUAAAUAUUGUUCGUGGGCAGUAGUUCUCUAAGUCCUGGUCGCAGGUCUCACAUUUCAUGCAGGAACCUACUGUUGGCGUGACUUGUGGAUAUUGACUUACUUUCCUUACACACCAAGAAUUCAUAUUAUAAUUGUAAUUGAUUUACUUUAAUUCAUGAUUUCCUACUGUAAAUAGAUUUAGGAAUUUAUUAUUUACUUGCCCAUUCAGGUUUCAUUGUAUUAUAAAUAUGACCUCCUACAAGGAGAAGAAUACACAGAAAAUUCCCACAAACAAAUAUUCUCUCAUAGUUUUCAUAUUUUAGCAUGGUAUCAGAGCGGCGAUCUUGGAAUUGCUCACUUUAGUUUCAAACCCCCGCCACCGUUAUGGGGGUUGAUGAUUUUUUCAACCCUCAUGGAGGUAGCACCACCGACUCCUUCUCUCAUUCUCAAUAAACCAUCGUUGAGUUGAGUGCCCAGAUGGCUCCGCUCCUAUAAAUGCAGACUUUGACCCUGAACCCGAUCCAGAAUUAGGAUCCUCUUUUGACGACCCUGACCUCAACUAUGACGACGAUGACGACGACCCCGACCCCCACUCCGAUGAUGACCCCAAUCCCGAAUUUGUCUCUGAUUCAGACCCUGAUCCCGAUUUCGACUCCGACUCCGGCCCCGACACAGGCUCAGAUUUCGAUCCAAAUUCCUACUCAACCUGUAUCCUAUGCAUCUUCCGCUGCACAGAUUAUGACUUCUAGACUAACGACCCCGACACAUGGACCAGAUUGCUCAUAUUGUGGUGAUUCGAGACACACUUGUGAGACUUGUUUUAAAUCGCAUGUCUACCCCGAUUGGUGGGCUACUAUUACAUAUCGAGGACAAUGCACCAGUAAUGGUACUGGUUAUGGAUUCCAUACUUCCGAUAAGAUUGAUUCUAGGAGCUGGAUAAUUGAUUCUGGUGCAACUGAUCAUAUGAUGUUUGAUCCUGAUGAUUUUCUGAAUACUACACAACCUCGACGAACCUGUAUUGCAAAUGCCAAUGGUGUUACUUAUCCUGUGACAAGGGCUGGCACUGUUGCAUUCUCAUCCUCUCUCACAUUGUCUAAUACUUUACUUAUUCCAUCUUUAUCCACUAAAUUGUUGUUAGUUAGUCAGCUUACUGAAUUGAAUUGUUGUGUACUCAUUUACCCGAGUUUUUGUUUGCUUCAGGAUAUUCGUACUAAGGAGAUUCUUGGUUGUGGUACUAAGAUAGGGGGGCUAUAUUAUGUCGAUGACUUCAGUCCCGACGUGGCUAACAGUGUGACACAUCCGUUUGAUAGCAAACAAAAGCAAAUCUGGUUGUGGCACCGUCGAUUGGGACAUCCGUCUUUUAGAUAGCAUCUUAUACCAGAUUUAUUCUCAUGUUUCAAGGACUCCGACUUCACAUGUGAUACUUGUAUUUUAGCCAAGAGUCACCAUAUGCCCUACCCGUUGAGUACGAACAAGUGUACUCCUUCAUUUACGUUAAUUCACUCUGAUGUCUGGGGACCUUCGCCUAUCACUGCUCCUUCUGGUGUUCGAUGGUUUGUCACAUUCAUCGAUGAUUGUACACGGAUGACAUGGCUUUAUUUGCUGAAGAAUAAAAACGAAGUGUUUUCCCAUUUUCAGUCCUUCCACAAACAGAUGAAAACUCAGUUUAAUGCUCAAAUCCAGAUUCUUCACUCAGACAAUGGUGGAGAAUUUGUCAAUCAUGACUUUCAGACUUACUUCCAACAACAUGGAAUUAUCCAUGAGACGACUUGUCCUCAGACACCGCAACAAAAUGGUGUUGCUGAAUGAAAAAAUCGACAUCUUCUUGAAACCGCCCGAGCACUUCUGAUUAGCGCUCAUGUUCCUCGCCAUCACUGGGAUGAUGCUAUUGUCACCGCAGUUCACCUGAUCAACCGCAUGCCUUCUGGUGUAUUGACCUUUAAACUCCCUUACAGGUGCUUACGCAACACAGACCUCUGCCCUCUGUUUUGGUACUCACACCCCGAAUCUUUGGAUGUGUGGCUUUCGUUCAUCUCCACAAAAAUCAAUGUAGCAAACUUGAUCCCUGUGCGCUUCGUUGUGUUUUUGUGGGUUAUGCCACUCAUCAGAAAGGCUACCGCUGUUAUCACCCUCCUACCCAAUGAACCUAUGUCACUUUGGAUGUGACCUUUUUGGAAUCUGAGCUGUUCUUCCAUGACCCAUCAUCCAAUUCUACGCUUCAGGGGGAGAUACAAAGUGAAGAGCAAAAUUGGAGCAACUUAGAAAAUAAAGAAAUUCUCCUCUAUACAGAAAUGAUUGAUCAUCCUAAGUCUAGAGCACGAGAUUACUCUCUGUCGAAAAGCAACCAAUCGCCCAUUCAUAGCGAUCAAUUGCCUGACCCACCUGAUCCAUGCGAAGAUAUUUCUGAUCCGAGUCUCACACCUAUAGACAAUACAGAACAACAAGAUGAAGACCCCUUUCUAACUCAACAGUACCAACAGACCAAUCUCCUGAGAAUAUCCUUGAGGUAACUACUCCUACUAGACUUGUGCAUUUAUAUGAUAAAACUAUUGGAUAUCAAUUACCUUUCAGGCAAAAUCGUGGGAAGCCACCAAAUCGUUAUUCACUUGAUAUUGGCAAGACAUCCAAGUAUCCAAUUACAAAUCAUGUAUCCACUGAGAAGCUGUCUGAACCACUCAAGGCUUUUGUGCAUCAGUUGUCUGCUAUCCAUAUUCCAACCAAGGUCUCUGAAGCAUUGAAAGAUCCUAAGUGGGUCCAAGCUAUAAAAGAGGAGAUGAAAGCUCUUGAGAAAAAUCAGACUUGGACAUUCGAGACUAUACCUCGAGGAAAAAAGACUAUCGGAUGUAGAUGGGUGUUUACUAUAAAACACAAUGUAGAUGGAUCUAUCGAGCGAUACAAGGCAAGACUUGUGGAAAAAGGGUACACACAGACCUAUGGUAUAGACUAUGAAGAAACCUUUGCUCCAGUUGCAAAGUUAAACACCGUCAGAGUCUUAUUGUCCCUUGCAGCUAAUUUGGAUUGGCCACUACACCAGUUUGAUGUAAAGAAUGCUUUUCUACAUGGCGAACUCACAGAGGAGGUGUACAUGGACAUUCCUCCUGGAUAUAAUACUACUCAGACUGUAAUAGUUUGCAGGUUAUAAAAAGCAUUGUAUGGAUUGAAACAGUCACCACGUGCAUGGUUUGGACGGUUCACCAUGGCAUUGAAGAACAAUGGUUUCAAACAGUGCAACUCAGAUCAUACUCUGUUCUUGAAACAUCGAAAAGGGAAGGUAACAACAUUAAUAAUCUAUGUUGAUGAUAUGAUUAUUACUGGGAAUGAUAAACAGGAAAUAUCACAGCUACAAGACUAUCUGGCUACGGAGUUUAAGAUGAAGGAUCUAGGUGGACUCGAGUAUUUCUUGGGAAUUGAGGUGGCUCGAUCGCAGCAAGACAUAUUUCUCUCUCAAAGGAAAUAUGUCUUAGACUUGUUGACAGACACAGGAAUGCUAGAUUGUAAACCUGCGGACACUCCAAUUGUUCAGAAUCAUCAUCUUGGAGAAUAUCCGGAUCAAGUUCCAACUAACAAAGAAAGAUACCAAAGGUUAGUGGGAAGAUUGAUCUAUUUGUCACAUACUCGACCAGACAUUGCUUAUGUGGUGAGCGUUGUCAGUCAAUUUAUGCACUCUCCAAGUGAAGACCACAUGAAUGCAGUUCUUCGGAUACUUAGAUAUUUGAAGUCUGCACCUGGAAAAGGACUUAUGUUCUCAAAGCAUGGUCAUCUAAAUAUUGAUGGUUAUUCAGAUGCAGAUUGGGCAGCUAAUGUAACAGAUAGAAAAUCCACAUCGGGUUACUUCACAUUAGUGGGAGGUAAUUUGGUGACAUGGAGGAGCAAGAAACAGAAUGUAGUAGCUUUAUCCAGUGUAGAAGUCGAGUUCAGAGGCAUGACUAAAGGGAUUUGUGAACUUGUUUGGUUAAGAAAGUUGCUUACUGAACUUGGGUAUAAACCUACAUCCACAAUGAAUCUCUUUUGUGACAACAAGGCUGCUAUAGCCAUUGCACAGAAUCCGGUUUAGCAUGAUCGUACUAAACAUGUUGAGGUGGAUCGACACUUCAUCAAAGAGAAGCUUGAGGCUAAAGUGUUUCAGUUUCCUUUUGUGAAAUCCAAUGAUCAAUUGGCGGAUAUUUUGACAAAGGCAAUUUUCAGUAAAGCAUUCCACAAUUCACUGGAUCAGUUGGGCAUUGGCGACAUCUAUGCACCAACGUGAGGGGGAGUGUUGGCGUGACUUGUGGAUAUUGACUUACUUUCCUUACACACCAAGAAUUCCUAUUAUAAUUGUAAUUGAUUUACUUUAAUUCCUGAUUUCCUACUGUAAAUAGAUUUAGGAAUUUAUUAUUUACUUGCCCAUUCAGGUUUCGUUGUAUUAUAAAUAUGACCUCCUACAAGGAGAAGAAUACACAGAAAAUUCCCACAAACAAAUAUUCUCUCAUAGUUUUCAUAUUUUAGCACCUACUAUGACCCCAACUCCUACACAAUCACCUACUUUGAAUUUCUCCAAAUUCUUCCCAGCUUUGGUCACAACACCAACAAUUUCAUGCCUGGAAAAUCAAUUGAAAAUGUUCAACACACACAUGAAUGAUUUCACAGGAAUAAUAAAACGAUCAUUUCUGCUACGUUCUGCCAAAAGCAGAGAGAUAUAACAACCAAUUCCCAUACAUGAAUGCAAUUUUUUAUAAGAUAUUUGGUCAUAUGCAGAGGUAAACAGAAUAAAAAACAUUUUGAAAUGCAAAUAUUUAAAAUUAAAAAAACAAACAAAUAUGCAUGUUAAGAUUCCAAAUUUUUACAAUGACAUCAUGCCUUAUGCCUAUAAAAAGAUCCUUAUCGAAAUCAUUUGCGUUUGAUUUAUAACAAUCAAAUGAAUUCGAGCAUUAGUUCAUGUUUCUAGAGCCCCUUGCAUUCUACUAGGAUAGGCGGAGACAAGCACCAAACAAACAUAAACACCACCAAAAGAAAGCAUAAGCAAUUUGUUAAUAUCUGUUUGGAAAUCAGGGAUUGAUCAGGCAAUUUAACACUUCGUGUUUCUCCUGAAUAGAAUAUCCCCAUCAUAACGUCUUAGGCACAAUGCCCACGAAAAGCUAUAAGCCUGGAAAUAAGUUAAAAGUUGCACAUUGAUGCAUCCUCCUCCUAAUAGAAAAAUUCAGUCUUUGUUGUUAUAAAACAAAACAAUGAAGUGUUUGUGGUCAGAUAGGCAUACCCAAAACUAAGGGAAAGAUUGGCAACUCCAGGGGCUUGUCAGGCAAACCCACCGUGACCAGCUUCCCAUUCAGCUUCAGUAGACCAAUUAAUGGAGCCAACGCAUGAACUGCAGACACCGUGUCAAUGAUGUAAUCCAUGGUACCCAUUGCUGCCUGCAUAGUAAAAGCAGGAAACAGCAAAAUAUUAGGGUAAAUCACUAAAUAUUCUAGACCUUCUGAGAAGAGGAACCAAAAAAUAAACAUUAUGGAAUCAAUCUGCAGAACAACGUAUAAUGUGGAGUUGUUGAGGUAGGUCAUAUCAAAGAUCUGAGAUUUGUUCGCAGCAUUGCACCUAGAUGUUUCAUUUCUUGUAUUAUUUACCACUAGCCUCUUUGCACUGGUGCAUGAAGGGUGACUAACUAAACUGUUAUUGACUUCGAGGAUGACUAACUAAAUUGAUAAGUAUUGAGGGUAGUGGGAAAGAAAGCUAAGAACGGUUAUAUUUUACUAUAAAUUUGUAAACUAUUUCAAUGGAAUAUUUUACUCUUGUUAUAUAAAUUGGUUUGUUGUAGCCAUUUCUUAAGUGGAGCAUGUUAAGGGAUUUUGUAAGUUUCAUGGUUCCUCCUUGUAGAUAUAGAUUACCUUCAAUUUUGCAGGGUCACUUGAGAGGAGAAAAGAAUCAGCUCCAAGUCUCUUAACAGCCUCAUCCUCCUUUCCUGGGGAGGAACUGAUGACAGUCACUUUCAAACCAAAAGCCUUACCAAUCUUCACAGCCACAUGACCAAGCCCACCAAGUCCUGCCACACCCAAAUGCUUUCCAGGCUCAGUCAUGCCAUAAUAUUUCAUUGGACUGUACACAGUGAUCCCAGCACAUAAAAGUGGUGCACCCGCAUCAAGGGCUAAGUUAUCUGGAAAGCGGAGCACAUAGCGAUGGUGAACAACAAUCAUAUCGGAAUAACCACCAUAAGUUUUUGUUCAGUCGUGAUCGAGUGAGUUAUAGGUAAAUAUUGUUCGAGGGCAGUAGUUCUCUAAGUCCUGGUCGCAGGUCUCACAUUUCAUGCAGGAACCUACUAUGACCCCAACUCCUACACGAUCACCUACUUUGAAUUUCUCCACAUUCUUCCCAGCUUUGGUCACAACACCAACAAUUUCAUGCCUGGAAAAUCAAUUGAAAAUGUUCAACACACACAGGAAUGAUUUCAUUCACAGGAAUAAUUUCUACUAUGUGCUGCAAAAAGCAGAGGCAUACAACAACCAAUUCCCACACCUGAAUGCAAUUUUUUAUAAGAUAUUUGGUCACAUGCAGAGGUAAACAGAAUAAAAAACAUUUUGAAAUGCAAAUAUUUAUUAAAAAAAACACAGAAAUAUGCAUGUUAAAAUUCCAUCUACCAAACAACUAAUCCACCAAAUAUUUACAAUGACAUCAUGCCUUAUGCCUAUAGCAAGAACAUUAUCGAAAUCAUUUGCGUUUGAUUUAUAACAAUCAAAUGAAUUUACUAUAACUUAUAAUAGUAAAAUGUUUUCAAUAGUAAGAUUCAUGACAGUCUAGACUCUUAUUAAGACAAAAACCACAUUGAUCCUUGUGAAGUAGGCUUCCGUAAAUAACAUUUUCAUUCAAACUUAACAGAGACACAUCAUAUUAUCUUUCAUACAGAGUGACACGAGAUUAGCAUGUUACCCAGGUACAAUAGGGUAGUUGGUGAACCCCCAUUCAUUCUUGACAGAAUGCAAGUCUGAAUGGCAAACCCCACAGUAAAGGACCUUUAUUGUUACAUCAUCAUCAGCAUUUUCCCUGCAAAUAACACAAACAACAGCUCAAGUAAAUAAACAAAUGUAGUACAAAAACUGAGUGAUCGAUUAAUUUUAUGACUUUCAUUUCUUUUUUUUAUUUUAUCAGUCUUUAUAUUUGCAAGUUUUAGUAAAAGAAAAUUAAUCACCUGGGGAGUGAUCCCCUUCUUAUCCCCCUGAAUUUCAAAAGCAUUAAAACACUUGAUAACAACAGAAUGGGUUAUUUUGUAACUCUCUUUUUAUCGUUUUGUCAAAGUAAUCUUACACAAGUUAUGGGUAUAGCUGCUAAGUUAAGCAAAAUCCAUAACCAAAACCCACCAGAAAUUCUUAAAUCAAUUACAUGCUGUAUUUUCUAGCAUGGUGCAAGUGGCGCCACCACACAGGGUUUUUGAAUUUUUUUUACUUUAUAUUAUACUAGCCUCUCCCGCUUCCGCGCCUGCGGGAGGCUUUUUUUUAUAGAAAAUUUUAAAUUUAUUUUAGAAUUAAAAAAGAUAAUGGGUAGUUGUGUUCCAUAAAAAUAGGAUCCAUUAUUUGAUUUUUCUUUUAAUUUUAAUUUUUUUAAUAUGAAAAAGUGUGAAUUUAUCAUAUUAUCUUCGUUUAAUUAAUAAUUUCAAUUCUUAAUGUUUGCAUUGACCAAGGGUAUUUUCUGGUAUUUUGAAUGUUUUAUCAUUCUCAGCAUUUUGCUUUAUAUAUAUAGAUAUAUUCAUAUUAUAAAAACUGCAUAUAUACUCCAACGUGCAGCACAUUGACACAUAAAUGUAUUUGGUAGAACUGAUUUCUAAUAUAUAAUUUCUUCUAAAUAAAUAAAAAGUACUUUAUUCCACUAAAAACAAAACCAAAAAAGGUGCAGCACCGACCCUACGUUGGAGCAAAGCUUCCAUCACAUUGUGUAGGGUCUAAUCAACUGUUAGAAGCCAAAAAUACAAGGGAAAUAUGCUGAUAUAAUCAGUUUUCACAAGUGGUGUUCUGAAAUGAUUAGGUUACAAAUUGUGUUCUGAUAUAAUCACUUGUGAACGUGAAAUGACCAAACUGCCCUCCAUAUAAAAGCACAUGUAGCAACCCUUUGCCACCCCUUUUCUGAAAGGGAACUUGUCUGAACUCCUAAAACUCUCUCUCCUCUGUGUUGGAAGGUUGGCAAAAAUUGGGGGAACUCAAGGUUGCGAGACAUGUUCCCACUGAGCAAUCCAGUUCGCAACCCAUCCAUCGUCAUAACCCAAAUGUCCUCAAAUUUGGGACCCUAGCUUGGGCGCAGCGAAGCCGGAAGGCACGGCCUCCAUUGUUGACCUCCAGAUCGAGGUGACUGCUGCGAGUCCACAGAGAAGGGAAAGUGGCGACUUCCGGUGUCGUUGUGAACGGAUGUGAGUUGUGAUAUUGGUUUGGUAGUGUAUGUGUAUUAUGAAAUCGUUCAGCCCCUUUUCACCACAGAGAGAUAAAAGCUUAAAUUUUCAGUUUGAAGGAGUUAUGAUAUGUUGAAAUUCAUAGUUUGUGAUAUUAUCUGCAGUGGGAUCUGUCUGGUGAACUUGAAUUUUGUUUAAAAUUGACUGAAUGCGUGUAUAAUGUAGUGCAAUGUGUUUGAUAAUGGUGAAAAUAACAGCACACAGAAAAAUCAUAUGUUAACUUUGUCUAGCCUAAAAAUUUGUAAAUACGGCUAGUGUUAGGCUCAAUUUAGAUGCUAAUGUGGGGAAUUUAUUGGCAUUCUGGGUUUGUUUUGGUAAUAAGAAGUAUAGUUUGUGUGUUUUGGUUUCGAAUUUGGUAAUUGAGCUUGUACUACAUUAUACGUUUUCUAUCACAACCUGAUCCUUUUGUUGAAGGUGUUUACAUUUGUCAAAAGCCUUGGAGGGUUAGAGGGUUCAUAUUUCUGCCAUUGUAUGUGUAUGUUAGUUUGUUAAUAACUUGGAACCCACAGAUAUGUACAAAAUCAGAGAAAAAACAAAAAGGAAUAAAAGUUACUUGUUGAAGCAGCUACAAUUUGAGUUUGAAGAUUUGAGGAUUUAGAAGAUGAUAUGUGUAGUGGAAUGACUGUUGUGCAUGUUUUUAUUCAUCUAUUUUUUAUUUUUUAGUGUUAUGAAUCGGUGUAGUAAUUAUUUAUGUUAUUUGCAGAAAUGGAUACAGUUGGAAUUUUGGUAUGCUACAAUGGAAGUUGGGUUAAGAAGGAUAACAUUGAGAGUUAUGAAGGUGGGGAGGCUAAAGGCAUAAUAGUGUCACGGAACGUAACGUUUUCCGAACUUGUUGAACGCAUUUAUAAGAUCAUGGAUGCAGAGCCCACGAAAUAUAGUGUCACAUUGAAGUAUUCAGUUCCUGUAUCCGCAUCUGUCAGUAAGCACAUAAGGGUUGAAGACAAUGAUGAUGUUCAGUAUUUUCUCAAGUACAACACAGAUGUUAUGGCCUCUAAAGUAACCCCUUUAGUAGCAAGCUUGAAAAAUAUCGAAGGUCAUGGUAUUGAAGGGUGCAAUGGCAUUGUAAGCGUUGAGAGUAGCAAUGCUCCUGCUACCUUUGUUGUGGAACGAAGAAAUGUGGUAAUUUCGCACAAUGAAACUGAAAAUGGUGGGAAUGGUUUUAAUUGGAGUGAUUGGGUUGAAGAAGUUCAUUUUGAAAGCGGUGAAAACAUAGUUGCUGAUUUAUAUCAACCUAGCAAUGAAGAGGAACCGUACUCUGCACCAAUUGUGCAUCCUCCUGAGGACAGCAAUGCGGAACCCUCCACUGUGCAGUGUAGACAGGUGCAAUCUGAACCUCCCCGGCAAUCAAGUUCGAGUGAAAUGCAUACAAUUCGGGUUGAUUCGAAGCAUGGUGAGAGUGUGGAAUAUAUUGGUUAUGGUGGAGGCCUUUCGUGCAUAAAUUGGGAAGCAAAUUUGAAGGUUGGCCGAGUUUAUCCAAAUAAGAUUGCCCUUUUAAAAACCAUCAGUUUAGCAGCAAUUAGAGGCCACUUUCGGUUCAGAACAGUCCAAUCUGGGAAGCGUCGGUUUUGUGUUCGCUGUUGGCAGGUGCCUUGCCCUUGGAAACUUUGGGCAUAUAAAGUUGGAUUACAUGAGUUUAAGGUUGUUAAAUACGAUCCACUUCAUGAAUGUGAUCUGAGGUUUGUAAGUAGUCACCAUCCUCAAGCUACGGCCGAAUUGGUGUCUGACUGUGUUAAAUGAAGAUUUCAGGAUUCGCGCAGCAUUUAUACUGCAGCUGAUAUAAAGACAGAUGUGAAAAAAAAAUUUGGUGUCAGCAUAAGCUACUCUACAGCUUGGAGAAGCCGAGAGUUAGCUUUCAAAACAAUGAGAGGGUCUGCAGAAGAGUCGUAUUCCCUUCUCCCUUCCUAUUGUUGUGAAUUGGAGUGUACAAAUCCGGGAACUUUGACAUACAUUCAGACUGAUGCAGCCGACCACUUCUUAUAUUUUUUUAUGUCAAUUGGUGCAUGCAUACGAGGAUUUAAGUCGUCAAUGCGGCCCGUGAUUGCUGUUGAUGCUACCCAUUUGAAGUGCAAGUAUAAAGGUGUUUUGUUUGUUGCGACCGCAUUUGACGGAAAUCGCAACAUAUAUCCUGUUGCCUUUGCGAUUGGAGAUUUGGAGACGGAUGCAGCAUGGGAGUGGUUUUUGAGAAAAUUACAUUGUGCAAUUGGUGAUUGCUCGAAUCUUGUUGUCAUAUCUGAUCGCAAUGUUAGCAUACAACAUGGGUUGCGUAGAGUUUUUCCUGGGGCAAGCCAUGGUAUUUGCUUUUAUCACUUGAAGGGCAAUAUGAAAGCCUCAUUUCACUUGAAGCGACGGGAUCCGAUAUUGGGGUAUUUUGUAAGGGCAGCGAAGUCUUAUCGUCUAGCGGAGUUCAAUCGUCACUUUUCGAUGAUAAACAAUGAGCGAGUGAGAACUUAUCUACUACAUGCAGGCGUUCAGAAGUGGUCUCGGGCCCACUGUGAUGGACGACGCUAUAGUGUGAUGACAACGAAUAUUGUGGAGUCCAUUAAUUCAGUUCUUCGUUUUGCAAGGAUGCUUCCGGUCCUACACUUGAUCGAUGAAAUCACAAAUUUACUUCUCACUUGGUUUAGUCAACGUCGAGAUUUAGCAAUGAAAUGUCAUUCUACAUUGUGCCCUAAUUUGGGUGAACAGAAGUUAAGGAAGAGGUUAGACGCUGCGUCAAGGAUGAAUGUGGUCAAAAUCAAUGAUGUCGAGUAUAAUGUUCUGGAUGGUGAUUUGAACGGUCUGGUGCACUUGGCAAACCGUAGUUGUACGUGCAGGAAGUUUGACUUGGAGCAACUCCCGUGCAAGCAUGCUAUUGCGGUAUGUCGGCACUUGAAUUUGAACCCCUACUCCUUUGCCUCUUCUUAUUAUACACGAGCUACAUGGGCAGCUGCAUAUGCUGAAUCUAUUUAUCCUGUACCACAUAAAGGCACAUGGGUUAUUCCCGAACAUUUGAACAAUGUCAAAAUCCUUCCUCCUGUUUGUAAGGUUAUGCCGGGCCAUCGCAAAAUGCAAAGAGUACCUUCCAAAGGAGAGGACUCCCGGCAAAAAAAAUGCUCAAGGUGUGGUGUGAAGGGCCACUACCGAAAUACAUGCAAACAAUCUGUCCCUCUCAAGAACUGAAGUGUCUAUUUGCGCAUAUUGUACAGUUGUUCAGUUUGUACCUCAGUUGUCAUCAACUGUGAAGUUCAUGAAUAGGUUCGGUGAUGCUGCAGGGAUGGAAGUCCGUCAAUUAAACGGUCAUGUGAAGCAUAUGGAACAAGGUAACAAGUUCCUUGCAAUGAGAGCCUAUUAUUAGUACAAAUUUGUGAACUUACACUUCCACCUGUGAAAAGGAAACCAGCUGUUAUUUAACAGUGUUCCACUGGCCAAUGUGUCUUACACAUUAGCAUUUCUAUUCGUUUGUGAUGUACCUUUUAUUUAUUUUAAUUUAAAUUGUAUUCGAUUUGGUGUUGUGAACUGUGAUUGUAGUCACGUUGGCAUCACUUGGUUUCCUUUCCUACACAACGUUUUGUCCUGUCUUUAUAUUCACCGUAUUGGUAUUGUAUUGUGACUUUGUUGCGCCGUAUUGGUAUUGUAUUGUACCUUCGUUGCCCUCGUAUUGGUAUUGUAUUGUACCUUUGUUGCACUGCUAUUGGUAGUGUAAUUAAAAAGGUUUGUGUCCAAAAUGAAAUGGCCUAGAAGGCUAACUAAAAUGUAAUCUCGUACGUAAAACUCCUUCAAAUGCAAAUGUUACGCAAUUACUGGGAGCGUCAUUGUACUUCAUGAUUUCUCAUUGUUCUGAUUGCCAUAGACCAAACUAUAUAUAGUUUUUGGGAAACUAUCCAUGCUCAUUGUUCUGAUUGCCAUAGUUAUUGCUUAUUUAAUUCCAAUGUUCAUUAUAGUACUGAAAUGACUAACUACUGAACUUAAAUCAGUACUGAAUAUUACCACCUAUCCCUUCAAAUUGUUACUUCAUUAAUUAAAUGUCUAUAAUCCUUUUUUUUGGGGCAUUUAUUAUUAUUGCUUUCAUAACUUUAUUUGUCUUGUUAGUAAAAAAUUUCAUGUUUUUAUAGUGUCCGUGGUUUGUAUCCAAUUGCCUUAAGGUAUCGAUAUAUGUCCCAUAUUUCCAUGGAUAUUCCGCGCGUCAUAACCAUCGAUCUGUCCGAAACCCUCCAUAUAUACGACCGUUGCUAGAGUCACUGUUUAUCAUUACUCAGAUGUAGAGGCUAUUAUAUGAGGUGUAUAUCCAUAAAGCAGCAAUAAAACCAUACUAUAAGCACAAUACGAUUGCAAUAUGAGUCAAUAAUUAUACAAUACAAACACAAUAUACAUGCUUAAUGCUUCUAAUAUGAGGCCAAUAAACGUUUAAUAAGCACACCUCCACGUUACAGCACUUCAAAUUUAUACAAACUAAGUAAUUUCCCACUCAACGGUGAGAAUAAGAGGAAGGCGUAAACAAGGCACCACAUUCAUACAAAAGCCACCAAAUACAUACAAAAUGAUUCCACCCGUACUUACCCUGACCCAGCUACAGAAACCCUUCCACAAAAUCACCAUGUUUACAGGUCCAUGAAUAGAUCCAAUUCUUUGGUCUUCUUCCUCGCUGCAUGCACAAGGCUAUGAUCAGCCAUUCCCUGGCCACCCUUAUUCAGCACCUGCCAGACACCACCAACAUCUAUUUCGCUCCAAUUGUAGUCAGGUGACACGACGGAAGCAUAAUCCCGGAACAUCUCGAACCCAUUGUUAAAACAUUCAACCAGUUCAUGGUUAAAUUCUUCAGAUUCAGUGAAUUUUUGGACAGCAUCUUUCUUUGUUUCUUCCAAUUGUAACGUCAACGAGGCUAACUUCGCGCUUCGACUUUGGGCUUUCAUUGUUUGCUUAACUUCUCUAGCAAAUGCUUUGUUCAGCUUGUUCGUCAAGUUGCCCAUCACCUGGCCAUGAAUAUCGCAUUUGGUUUCCCACCAAUCCGUUGCCGUACACAAAUAUUGGAGGUGACGCUUCACUUCAGCUAUUUUCUUUAGCGGAUCAAUGUUGUCAGCCUCACUUCCGGAUGACGUGGGAUCGUUAUUUGGAGUCCCAGGUGGAGAUGGGAAAGGGACAUGCCAUGGCUGGUCUCCUGGGUAACUAACAACCUCGUUUGGAGGGAUUACGUCUGACAUCUUCAACUUCAAAUGGGGAUAAUGCACACAUGCACCCUGAAAAACAGUUAACGUUAGGUUGAAUCUGGAGCAUCGUUUUCGUUACCAACAAUAGGGUGAGCUUUACUACAGCUAUCGUGUCUAAUAUAUAUGGAAUUGAAUGAGUAGGUUAGACCCUCUUAUAUAGAGGAAGUUGUGUGUUUUAUAUUGCUUUCAAUGACUACAUUACAAAAUCAGUCUUCAGUCAUUACUCCUCUCUGUCACUGACAGCAUUGUAAUAUGCCCAUUACAUCGGACCAAAUACGAAUAUACACACCUGUCAACGUUGGAAUACUCGGCCGUACCAAUAUACACACCUGAACAACAGUGACUACACAAAUUACACACAAUCUUCAUCACAAUUCUAUACUAUAUUAAUAUUGAAGGUGCUGCCAUAUGAAUAAUAGCUUAGUAGCAAGUUCCCCAUUAACUCAUUUUACCAACUGUACAGACUUGUUCAUAAAUGACAAAGUAUCCCCUACAAAUGACGACAAUAGGCAAGUCCAUCUAAAAACAAAUUAAUACCACCAAAUCAGUCAUAUACAGUCCCGACCUAAAUGUUAAGGCGAAUAAAACGUCAGGUAGGAUGAAUACACCUACAAAUAUUUGCAAAUGGAAAAAAAUCAGAGUUAGGAAUUCACCGUUAUAUACAAAAAUGGAACUCAUAUGAAGGAAUUUAGAAGACAGCAAAAAGGAAAUUGGAAACACAAAUAGUUUCAUGGUCCAUUUUUGUAAUUGGCCCAUUCGUUGUCAAAUUACUGUACUCAUAUAUUUGGGACAAUUUGUAGUUUUGGUACAGGACGGAAAUUGGGGAAAGAGGACAAAAGGAAUCAAUUGCAAAUUCAACAAGGGUCCCAUACAACAACCACCAACCAAUGGUAAAUGAUAGUUAUAUAUACAGCUGUUAUCAUGCAAAGCCCAAGUCAAACGUGUUGCCCAACAACUCCCGCCAAUAACUCCCGCCUAAAAUUGGACCCAACAACUGCCGCCAAUAACUCCCGCCUCUUCAUCACAGUCAUUUACUCUUGGUCAUUAAUACCUCCCACUAUUUAAUUGUAACCCAGCUGCAUCCACCCAACAUUUCCAUCACACUUACUGCAACCAAACCCCCCUGCCUGCGCAGCUAUUUCACCUACAUCACAAUGAAUGGCAGUUUGGGCAAACUAAUGGCCACACCAACCCACAGUAAAUACCCAACACCCAUGGACCCCAACCCCACACCAAACCCAACCUUUGCCAUUACUGAAGGAGGGGACACGGAAACACCUGCCAAAGCAGCAACAGAAGACACUGAAGACUGGGUCCAUGGACUGCAGCAAUGUCGAGCCAAUACCAUGUUCUGGAAAAAUCUCCAUGCAGACAUAGUUAGCAAAAUUAAAGAGGGCCAAGCUAGGUGGGGUGUCAUAAAAAAACGCACAAUUCGGGCGCGUUAUCAAGCCCGGAUGCAUCUCCUACAUAUGAAGGCUGUCAGAGCUAGAAUUGAAAAUGCCCCUGCCGGUGCAGUUAUUGCAUUCAAAGAAUCAGACGAAAUGGCUCAGCUGAAGCAACAACAACUGGAAUCCGGCUUCGAACUAUUUAGGAAGUUUGCACAAAUUGUGGAUGCAGAAGGAAAGUGGGACAUCACUGUGGGAGGGGUCAUGAACUUAAUGGGUCGCGGUCGCCGCAUUUGACGGGUAUGCAACUCGAAAUUCGGCCACAGCCAGAGGGUUUGCCUUGUAAUAUUACCAUGGCUACUAUUGGGGACAAACCCAGUACAGUGGAAUUUUUGACGUGCCCUCUUUUUGUAAUAUAUACGUAUGAGGUGCCCUUUUUAUUUAUUUCGUUUGUUUUCUGUAAGUUUGAGGGGGCCUCGUUCGUACAUAUGUAUAAUGUAAGCUGCAGGUGCCGUCUUUGUUAAGAUUGUAUUAUGUAAGUUUGAGGUCACCUCUUUGUAAAUUUUGUCUUCAGUAAGUUUCACCUGGCUUGUUAUUUUAUUUUGUAUGCUGCCAGGUUGAGGUGGCCUUCGUAUUAUAUGUACGUUUCAGGUGCCUUUCUUUUGUGUUGUAUGCAUGAGGUUUGAUAACUGCAGUUGAUGUAGUUUGGCUGCAUUCAUUUCAUAUUCGAUAUAACGUAAUUACCUUCCGCAUAGUUCAUAUUUGUAGACUUGUUAAAUGACAGUGCAAAACCAAUACGUAAGACAGUAUAAAAACAUUUAUAAUAGCUGUACCAAUUGCAAAUCAUGCAGAGGUUACAUUGGAAUGCCAAUAUAACACCAAUAUCGGGCAUUAUAAAAUCAAUACAAAUCAAUAUCGAUACAAUAAAGGUGCAAUACGAUACCAAUAUAGUGCCACUGUCCUAUCAAUACGUCAAUCAUACACCAAUAUACAGACAACGAAGAAUGGCAUCUACUGUAUAUGCAAGUGUAUACCAUGCCGUAUCUGUCAUAAACCAAGGCUAUGAAUAACAUUAGGCCCAAUAUAUAAUUACUGUAGGCAAUGGUAAAACACCCCAUUAAGUCCAGGUUUCAUGUUUGUGCACUCACACCAUGUAACUGAAACAUUGUGCACAUGCAAGUGUAACCCUUUGAAUUUGGGAUGACCCUCUUCAACACCCUAAAUAUCGCGCAACAUGAACAACAAUUCAUACCUUCCAAAACAAGAAGAUGAGUAGGAGGAGCCUCCGUACCGUGAGGGUGAGUCAGUGACGUCUCGGUUGCCCGGUCAAGAGGCGACUUCAAGAUCUCGCUGGGAAAUGGAAGCCGCAAGUUCAGUGUGUUCACGGCUGUGCUACUGUGGGAACGUUGUCAAAACGCAUACAUCGUGGACGGUUGCUCAUCCUGGAAGGAGGUUUCAAGUAUGUGCAAGGGUAAGUUUAUUUCUGUGUAAGUUUGAGCUGACAUUUGGGAAUUGUCUGUAUUCCAAAUCUGAUGUUGGCUGUCUUUGUUUGAAAACAUUGAUUCCGUUUCUGCAGAGGAAUGGAUGUACAUUUUGGGAAUGGGCUGACCUAGAGAUGUGUGACAGAUCGAAGCACAUCAUUCCAGGCUUGCUUAGGAAAAUAAACCGCUUGGAAGAAGAACAAAAUGCUGGAAAAGGGAAGAUGAAAAACCCAUGGUUUUGGGUCUCUGUUUUCUUGGUUGGAAUGGUCAUUUAUUUGUUGUUUUCCAAAUGUAAUAGGACUCCUGGUCAUCUACAGUUGGCAGGUUAAAGUUGGUUAGGUUAUAGAUGUAAUGGAACAGGUUUGAUUUAUUAUAAAUCAGUGAUGGCAGACAUGGUCGUUUUCUAUUUCAUAUUGGGUUGAAAAGGCAAACACAAAAGGCAUAGCCAAUAACCCCAGGCUCAGGUAUUUUGGUAUCAACUCUUAUGCAGCCUCAAUCGUCAGACCAAUUAUUCCACGUAAAACAUGAGAAAGAACUAAAUAUUUGACGGUGAGGGACCUCCCAAAACUACAACUCAAUGACGUCAAAUUUGAGCUUCUAAUUGGCCCAGCCGAGCGUUAAUGAAAAUGUUUGUGCUAACGAACCCCGACAUUUCCGUGCGGAUCGGAUUUAAAAAAUGCAUAUACAAAACAAAGUAUUCAACCUAACUAAACUAAACUAAACAGUCGACAAUGCACUGUCGUCUCAUGUUUACAGGUCCAUGACAUAGCCACCCAAUAUAUACUUUCAACUGUCACGAAAAUGAACACCCUAAUAUAUUGCCAAAUGAGAGUCGAAUAUUUCGCUAUAGUGGCGAUAAAAUAAUGGAAAAAGGCUACAAUGUGGGUGGCCCCAAAAAAUUGCAUUUCGCUGCAACUUGUGCCAAAUGAUGGAUUUACAAUCUCUGUUAAGCACAGAAUGUCAACAAUUACUUGUAACAAAGGAAAGUGAAUACAACCCUUCUACCAUGGAAGACAAGUACAGUUGAAUUCCGUUACAUAAAUGAACACCCUGCAACAAACUACAAAAUCACCCCACUUUAUCGCGUGGUGAGCAAAAUGUCAAAAAUUGUGCCAUGUUACGCAAAAACUCAUAUUCAGUUUCAAUAUUCACAAUACGACAAAACAGCCUGCAACUUCUUUCACAUACGUGUACAGAAUCUGAGAUGUCAAUAUGGGUAUGAAGCUCGAAGGACCACCUGCAGAAGGAGGACAUAUGUGCCACUUCAGCAUUCAUAUAAAGGGAAAAUGAGAUGUCAUAAGACAUGUUCAAUUUGAAGAAGUAAUUGUUUGAACCUUUCAUAAAGAACAUGAAACAAGUUUUGGAUUAGACACAGUCGGAGUUUAGAACAUAUGACAUACGUAAAUCAGAUGCCAGUUGCGAAACAUUGACAUUACCAUCUAUAGUGUUCAAAUCCCCAAUACCCUAAACUUUGAUGCACAAAAGUAGCCAUUUUCAUUCAUCACAGUUGGACAAGUUCCGAACAUAAUGUAAGUUAUCUUAAAUGAACACUGACGUCACAGGUGAGUACGUACGACGUAACUACAAUGAAGUAAAUAACAACGCAAUUCCAAAGGCAAUAGUUAACAAUAAAGCAGCAAUGAGGUCAGUUUAGGGCUUUUACCUCAUACAUAGGCCUCCCCCCUGAAAGCCUCGAUUGCAAGCUUCAAUCGGUAGUAGCCAAACUUCGAUGGGUCAAUGGUAUGUAAAGGAAUGCCGGCACUAAGGUACUCAAUAUAUUUGACUGUCAUAAUGCCACAUGAAGUACUGUCCACCCGAGCAGUAGACAAGUUAGAAGUGCACGUAUUGAUAACAUCCGAUUAUAGUGCUUUAAAAGAACACAGCUUACCCAUCACUUUGUUGAGGAACAUCGGAAAUUCUGCAAAUUGUGAAUUGGUUAAAGUUUGACAUGUCAGUCCCCUUUCUCUUCACCGCUUCAACCUCCGAUUUCUCAUAAAACCUCAUUUCAUGCAGCACCUUUGCAAGCGUAUGGGUAAUAGGCUCCAUGAAUCGGACAAGCAUACUGUUGGAGGUAAAAUCAGAAUACGAGUCAUAGACAGUGACAGUAUGUCGCACAAAGUCGACUUCUACUGCCACCCAAUGGGACUGUCGAACAUUAUACGGGAGAUAGACCUUGCGCACUUUCGUCCAUGCUUGUGCAUACCCAUGUUGCCAUGACCCAUUGACAAAGUGGUGUACAUUUUUGAGGUAGUUAGGCGGAGGGUCAACGUUCCUUGAAGCAUAUUGUUUCCUCGUGACUUGUUUGCCACUUGGCAUUGCAAACGGCUGUAAAAAUUGCUGCAACCAAGUGUGAAAGACACGUUACAUAAACCCGAACCAAAGCACCAAAAGGAGAGAUCUACAUGACUCCUACCAAUGCAAGAACUGCAGUGACACAUAAUAUGGAUACAAUCAUACCUGCAGACAAAACUCGGCGGUUGUCCACUCCCUUCCAAAUAGUUGAGGAUGAGAGAGUUGUCUUUUGCGUAUUAGAAACAUGGCCAUGUCAAGGUGCUGCUAUUUCAGAACACAACAACGGUGUCAAGAUGACAACAAAUGACACAUAGUCAAUGUCAUCAAAUAAGAGAUUGAUCGAAAUAAAGCCGGGUUCAAAUUGUUACCCUCGAGCUCAUCCAUGCAGUUUCAUCUAUCAGUUUGUAAAAAAAAUCUGCCCCAACUUCAAAUGGUUCGAGCUCCAGCUCCGCACUACAAAAACAACACUUGCAAAGGUAAAUUGAAAUAUAAUAGACAAGUGGAACACCUUGUAUAAUAUGACAAUGACACACACAUGUAUAGUAUAGCUGCGUAUAAAUUGUUUGCAUACAUCAAAAAACAAGUAUAUUGGUUUUGCCAAGAUACAAAUCCUAACCUGAUGUCAGUUUUCCAAGCCCUGCAAACUUGUAUGAUAGCCUUCACAUCGUCCAUGGCCACGGGUUUUGUCGGAUCAAAACGGGGCUGAGGUGUCUGUGCAUGCAAAUCAGUAACCUUCCUCUUUUUCCUGGAGGGAUCGGUGAAUGGACUCAACAAUGGUGUCGCAGCCCGAUUAAGUCUGCACCCUUUGCCUUCAGCAUCUGGUUUCCGAACUGUGGCAGUAGCCUCGUUGUCCCCUUCAUCACCAACCAGACUUAUGUUACAUUUCAUGGGAGGCCUGACCUUGCAUCCCACCCCCUCAAUUUCUGUCUUCUUCCAAUCCUCUAACAAAUGUAACAUUGUUUUACAAAUAACUCUAUACCCAUUCCCAUCUUCCGGAGUAGGAAGGAGGGCAUCUUCAACACUAGGAAGCUUCACAUCUUCAGAGGUAGGAACCUUGUGAGGUUGUUGGUCCACCUGCCUCUCACGAACUGAAGUUUCAAUUUCAGUAUCUAUGACUUCCAUGGCUGGGAAGGGUUCCACUCCAUCAGCAGGGACUUCCGCUUCCCUUGCAGCCCCUUCUAUAUGCAUGGCUGGAAAGCCUUCCACUCCAUCACCACAGACUGUUGCUUCCAUUUCACCCCGUUCUGUAUGCAUGCCUGGGAAGGCUUCUACUCCAUCAGCUGGAACUUGAGUGUCCAUUUUAGGUGCUGCUGUAGUCGGACUAGUAGGUUCAUUGAAGGGUGACACUUCAUUCUGCCCUCCUUCAUUCAUCUGAGCAAUACAGACUUCCUCAUGCCCUUCUCCACCAUAAUUUUUUUUAACUCCUCCAUCUCCAACUUAAAAUAAUGUUCGACUGAAGCAAUUUUUAGGGUCAAAUCCCGAAUAGCGUUUUUAUUUCUGUCACACUCGUUCUCAUGCUUGAAACAGUUCUUCUGUACAAUAGCUUCCAAGUCACGAACUCUGUUCCUAAGCCCCCGAUUUGAACUACGUAGCUUUUCCAACUGAUCCUUAGUGCUUCGUAAUUGAUGCUUCAAACUGCGAACGUCAUUAACAGACCCUUUGCCCUGCAUACAGUUAUACUGCAACAGUUAGAAAGCUUACAAAAAACCAGGAAACUAUUUCCACUUCAUUCCUAUCGUAUUCGCAAUAUUUUCACAACAUUGGAAAGAGGUCAUGCUCACCUUAGAAGAGGAGGGAAGGGUAGCUGUUUCCUCGACAUCCGCGUCUUUUUCUUCACUAGAAGUGCCGUUUUUUUCUUCGGCCUCAUCCCCAAAUAAUUCAACAAUUUCUUCUUCGUUGUCAUCAUCACCCCAACUCCAGUAAGGUUGUUGCUUGUCAAUAUCUGUUGGCCGGAGAAGUUGCACAUCAACCUCCAAUUGAAACACAUAAAAAAAAAAAAAUCAGUGAACUUUGUACUUUUUUCUAAUCAUAACAUGACUAAUACAAACAGAUCUAACCUCAAAGUUUUCAAAAACCUGACUCAUAACCUCCCGAAAACGGGCCACCGUGUUGCUCCUCCAAUGUAAUAUUCGAGGGAUGUGACUAUUGUCUUCAUGGACCGUGAAAUGCAAUGCUUCCAAUGCUGGGAACACUUCAAAAGCCCAAAUCUAUUCACAACAAUGAAACAUCAAUAUCUGUAAAUGUAUUUACAUAAAAUAGUUAAUUGCUGGAUAUGUGUUCACCUGAAGAGCGAAGCCAAACCCCCUUAUGAUGUACUCUCUUGGUCUACCACUUCGCAUUCUUGUCUGCGCUCUCUUUCCACUUUGUUUGGGCAUUUUUCUUUUUUGGGGCACUUUCACUCGUUGGUAUUCAGCACAAACUGCCCUCAACAGUAAAGCAUUUGUCAUUGCAUAUGACACUGCGCCCCAUGGAUACUUGUCAAACUCCUCUAGGUCUUCAGCCAACUUCAAAUACCGCAUGUCAAUAAGCACAUGCUUUUCACUACCCAAUAGAACAAAAAUGGCAAAAUAGACCAUUCCAAGCUUUAACGCAUCCUCAUCAUCUGUGCACUCGAUGAAGACGGUGUGUAGGUCCGAAAGGGUGGCAGGUUUAUUACUGCUGAAGUAUUUUCGCUUCAACGACAAAUUUUCAUUUGUCGCCUUCGGAAUGAAAGGGAGCUUUCCGAACCUUAGCCCCGUGAUGAGGCAAAAUUGUUGGGCUGUGAAUUGUAUCAACUUGUUACCCACAAUGAAUUUUAUCCCGUUCACCUGUGUAACUGCCUUAGGAUCAGCCUUCCUCAUCAACAGGCCGUGGACAAUUUGUGAAUUCCACUUGAGUUCCUCUAUCAGUAAUAGAUGACCAAAACAACUUCCCUCGAACCUCUGUAACUGCUGCGUAUUGAACUUCGCCUUUAUUGUUGUAAUGGCGGUCCUUGUGUGUGAAAGGGCAAAUGGCUUUCCUUCGUACUUCUCAUCCUCAGGAAUCAUAAGCUUUGCUUUACAAGCCAUUCUCAAGUUCCCUGCACAACAACAUCAUACAUAUGGAUCAUUGGUUACCCAUAUUUCAUACGUACAUUACUCAAACUAAUACUUUCAACCCAUUUUGAUAUAUGUAUAUACAUAUGACAAAACCAUAAAUGUUUGUAAGCCUCUUUUCUACUCUCCAACUCUCUCCACACUCUCCUCUUAUCUACAUUCCCUUCUACUAAAUGUACAUCCCAUUCCAUCCAAAAACCAAAUACCACCCAAGUCUGAAAACAAUUUCAUGAACCACGGAUCCACUUCAUACAGGGUUUGGGCGAAAUGGCUACAAUAAUUACUCCAAAUGCAUCAAUGCCUACUACAAUCUACUCAUGACCAUAGUUAUAUACAUGUCUAGUCAUAUGCAAUACAGUACCACACAUGGAACAUCAGUAUUCACAGUUAUGGACUCUGUGUGCAAACUAGACACGUCAAAAUGUUACUGCAACUGCAACUGCUAAACCUAGAUGGAUGAACAUGCAAUUUCUAAACAAAUACUGAAGCCCCAUAAAAUACCAUUUUCAGACAUAUAUCACAAGCUGCAAGCAAGGAAUAACAACACAAUUUAGCAGGUUUUAUACCACAGGGAAGAGAAAAUUUCCACGCCAACUAACUUUAGUAUUUCAAAAUCACAUAAUUAACCAUUAACACUGGAAGGGUGCAAAAUAUGCUACUACGUGCUGAAACACCAAUGAUACCAACAAUUUUACUUUUGCAUUAUUACUCAACAGCUAAUUCAGGGCCUACUGAGGUAAUGGUGUGUUAUAAUGGAAUAGCCAUUGCCACCAGAAUAUUUUCCCACACUAAAUAUGACUCAUAAAAUGGAAGUCAAAACAAGCAUCACAAACGAACCAAUCCUAGAUGACAAAUAGCAAUUUGAGGCACUUCAUCGUCCAUAGAGCAAACUCAAUACACCAAUACAAGUUUGAUCCCAGCAUGAUCUAAUUCACAGUUAAAUUACAUUAUUAUUGCAAUCUCUCUAAUUACUAAACUUCACAAAUUCAGUCACAGGUUAGUGAAAUUUUCCUUCUCAAAUGAUAACCAUACAAAAACACAAACUAGUCAAUAACAAAUACAAAACCCACCUUAGAAUCACUCCUUCUCUGCACAGAACCCAAUUCGAACUCCCAGCAACACCUACAGCAAAUCGCGACUUUUGUCUGUCACAGGAUUGAGAAGGAGGAGGACGUUUGUGAACAAAGUCAUAACCGAAACCAAAAUUUAGGGUUUUUUUAGGCCUUGAAGGAGCAGAGGAGAAGAGACCGACGUCGAUUCAAGACUCGAAACUAGAGGGAACUGAGACACCGUCAAGAACCCCCUCACCAAACCCUAACAUUGCCUGCAGAGAGAGAACGACAGAGUGCUGCUUAGGUUUUCGUGACAGCGGGAGAAAUAGAGUGGUGGUGGUCGAUGGACACAGAAACCGCUGAGAGAGGAAGAGAACCGUGACAGAGAGCUGAGAAAGGGAGAGAAGCCAGAAGCGUUAGGUCGGCAAUCAAAGGCCAAUAACUCCCCAAUACAUGUGCUUUUAUAUGGAGGGCAGUUUGGUCAUUUCACGUUCACAAGUGAUUAUAUCAGAACACAAUUUGUAACCUGGUCAUUUCAGAACACCACUUGUGAAAACUGAUUAUAUCAGCAUAUUUCCCAAAAUAGAAAGAGGGAAACAAGUAAACAAAAAAAACAAAAAAAAAAGUUUAUAUGCUAUUCAGGACCAAUCAAGUUUGUAGGAUCAGCCUAGAUCAUUUUCAAAGAAAAGAAAAAGCAAUAUAAAGAAUAUUACAAGAAAAUAGGAAAGGUAAAGUAUAAACGAUAUACCCUCUAGAGAAACGAAAUGGGGAAAGUAUUCCAGAAGUGUCUCUGUUCUUCCGGUGAUUUUGCCUCUCUCUCUCUCUCUCAACAGAGGGUUACUGCACCAUCAAGUGUAGGGAGAGGGACAGGGCACUCAAUGCAUACAACCAAAUAUUAGAAGAAAACUGAACCGUCUACAAUAAAUGCUCAUAUUUUUUGACUUUCCGGUUUCUAUUUUUUAUCAUUUAAAUGGUUUAGACAAAUUUGCAUAUUACAAACAUUUUUAUCAUUGAUCUUUUUCUACUAUUAUAUGGAGAAAUAUUUCUCUAUAAAAAUAUUAUACAGGGAAAUAUACCAAAGUGUAACCCAUCACAUUAUCGAAUUCGGGGUCGUUUUGAUGCGGCGGAUUGUCAUAUAUUGGAUUAAAUAUUGAGACUGUCUUGAAUUGACUUGGCAUGUUAUGAGUUGGAUAACACUUGUAUUGCGUUUGGUGUAUGUUUGAUUGGACUACGACUAAAUUUUAAAAAAAUUUUUUUUUUUGAAAAGUAAGUAUUUUUAAUUUUCUUCUUUCUCUUUCCCCUUCUUCCUGGUAUUUCUCUCUGCUUCUCUUUCUUCCUCUAUGCAUCUCUUUCGUCUUCUUCUUCUCCAUCCUCUCUCCUCUUCUUUCGUCUUUAUUUUUUCUAGAAAAUUUUCUCUUAAUUUUUUUAGAAAAUUUUCUCUUAAUUUUUUUAGAAAAUUUUCUCUUCUCUUUCUCUUUUAUUCCUCUUCUAUUCUAUCUUCUCUUUUUUUUCAAUUUUUUUUCGAAAAUUUUCUAUUCUUCCACUUCUAUUUUGUCUUCUCCUUCUCUUUUUUUUUUUUUUUUUUUGAAAAUUUUAUCUUCUCUCUUCUCUCUUCUCUUUUCUCUUUCUCUCUUAUCUUCCUCUUCUAUUUUGUCUUCUCCUUCUUGGGUGGUUGUGGUUGGUGAUUGCGUUUGAUGGUUGUGGCUGCCACUUGAGUGGUCGCUAGUUGUAGGGAGCAUGGGUGGGGUUGGUUGCUCGUCACUUGGGUCGGGACUGUUAGUCCCUCCUCUCCAGACAGGUUUCACGAAGAACACCUAAGGAGGUGUUUUUGUUACGGAUUGUAUUAGUUAAUCCCAAUUAAAAUUAAAACCAGAUAAAACAAACGUGAAAUAAAAUCUUAACCAAGACAGUCCAUGCCUGUAUGGUGUAACAAACACUCCCUUAAAGCACUCAAUCCUAAUUUUCUCUUUCCACAAAAUACAACUAUUCAUAUUCAUGUGUACAAUGUUUUUAAAUAUGUUCCACUAACCCUAAAAACUCCACUACUACAAUAAUGGGCAAAGUUGUUGGCUCUCUCUCCUCUCUCUCUCUCUCUCCCUCUUCGGCUGGGUCGCAGUUUCAAUUUUGACCAUACCGCUUAUCUUCUAAUUUUCGAAAUGGAGGUUUUCAUUUGUGGGAUUUGUCGCCUAGUUGGCUUUUCAAUACAAUAGCCAAUGAUUUAAGCAUUUUGAUCCACAUCUCAUAAAAAAAUCGAUGGCUUAACAAAAAAGAGUUAAAAUCAAAUAAAUAGAUAAACAUCAUGUUUUUAGUAAACAUUAAAAUUGUUGUUAUGAUAAUUGACUGAGUCUUAUUUUUUCAUUUGAUUAAUUUUUUUAAUAGUGAUUUUAAAAGAAAAAAGAAGAAGAAGAAGAAUGAUUUAGAUAAUUAGAUCAAGCUAUGAAGUAAUCGAUUUUUUACUUUCCUUUUAAUAUGUUGAGAGUUUUGUCCUAUAUUGAAACAUUAAGGGACCUAACAUGGGCUUUAUUUCUCUCUUUUUGACUGGGUAGGCCAAUUGAAGGAGUUUUUUGGUCCUUCUUCUUUUAGAUUGCGUAGGCAUGCCACCACAAAGUCACUGACUGGCUUGAAUGGAAAAGGUUGGAUUGUUGUGUUCGUGCUUCUGACUUCUAACCAGCCGAUUGAUCGGCCAAGCAAGGAACCUCCUCUUGGCCUAGGUUCUUUCACUUCCUCGGGGUCGAGGAUGGUUAAGUUUCGUACAGGUAUUUUAGUAUUUUUGAGAUUAUUAAUGAUAACGAUGCAAAUUAAAUUAAAAUAUGCGAUUAAACUUAAAGACGAGAAUUGAAGUGCGAUAAAGUAAUCAAAGCGAUAAAUAAACUUAAAUUAAGCGAAGAACGAAAUAAGAACGAUAUAAAUGAUAAAGGCAAUAAAAUAAAGCAAUUUGAAAUUAAAUUAAGCUUAAAACAAAUUCGAUAACAGUUAACAAUAAAGCGAUAAAAUUGAAUCUUAAGACAACGUAAUGAAAAAUACAAGAAAUUAAACUUACACUAACAAAAGUGAAGAACUGAUCUAGUCUACUUGCUUGGGAAAUAAAAGACCUAGUCCAGGGAUAGAAAAUUGAAAGACAAAAAGUAGGUUUUUGUGUCUGAUGUUGGGGUCGACUGCUCUUUGUUUGAUGUAGUUUAUAUAGGGGCAUUCGUCAGCCUAUGGGCUGGCCAUUAAAUGGCCACAGGUCAACUUGGUUCAAAAUCUUUCCUUGUGUGGUUUUCUAAAUUCCGUGGGUAGAGCUUGGGCCUCCAAGGACUUAGGCCUAACAUCUGGUCAGACGAUGUGGCUCCUAGAAUCUCUAAUUUUGAUUGAACAUAAUCCAUUGAUGUUGGGUGACUUGGAAUUUCAAUGAGUCCAUCUGCACCAUAUAUAUAUAUAAACAAAUAUAUAUAAAUAUAUAAAUAAAGCCACAGGAUUCAAGAGAUUUGUGGUCGCUCACCGUUGGAUGUAAAUUCAAUGGUUCACUCACUUUUGCACUUUUUUUAAGAAUUUUUUUUGAACCGUUGGAUAUUACAUCCAAUAGUUGGUGACUACAGUCUCUUGGACCCCUGUGGUCCAAAAGAUCAAGACUGUAAACAAAUAUAUAUAAAUAUAUAAAUAAAUAAAUAUAUAAAUAAAUAUAUUAUUAUAUAGAUGGUAUAAGGCCAUUAAUUAAAUAGCCAUCCGACUUUCAUCAGACCUUUUGGAUAAAGGUCUCUAGGCCAUUUGGCCUUUUGAAGGAGUUCGUCUGUGGUGCAUCGGCUGUACCGGUACGCCGAUCACAUGCUAGUCACGUGGGCUUUUUUUUAAAACAAUUGAAACUGGUUGUUUUGGUUAACCAGUUAAAAUGAGGAAAAAAAAUCAUGCUCCUUCAAAACCUAGGAUGCGUACUCGAUUUCGUCUAUCUCCUCCUCCAUAGCUUUGCACAGCCACAGCUCUAUUUCGUCGAAGUCACAGCUGCACAGCUUUCUACAGCCUGAAGAAGCUCCCCCCACUUCGUCUUCUCCAUCUGAGGAGCAGAUUUCAGCCAAAACCCAGAAACCCACUUCGUCUUCUCCAGCUGCUUCCUCCAUCUCGGUAAGUUCGUGUGUUGAUUUUCGUUAUGUGUAAUUGAUGGUUCUAUUUAAUUUAUUCUUCUUUUGUGUGAAUUUUGACCGGUGUGGCUGUAAAUGAAAUUUUGGGUUUUGCCAUUUAUUUGUUCCUUUUAAAAUUUAAUAUGUGAUUUACAAUUUGGCUGUAAAUGAGAAUUUGGUAGAUUAUUGUGCAGUUGAUUAAAGAAUUUAGAAAAUUAAAGUUAUGUACUUAACGAACAAUUUUUGCUUUUCAGUAACUUGCUGCUCUAGGUAAACAUCGAUUUGUCUUCCCUUUUUGUGCCAAAAGAUAGACAACUCCAAUUUUAUCGCAUAUAUUUUUAUGUUCUGUAAUGAUUGUUAGUAAGUAAUCUCUAUUAAGUCAGCCAACCAGCUUUCAUUUUAUCUUUUUUGGUAAUUAAAUCAAGGAUUUUGUUAUCAUGUUUAUAUGAUGUGAGUGAGGUGAUUUUUGGUGCUGUAAAUUGCUAAUCACUAGUGAUUUUGAAUUGUUGUUUCAGUUUUUUCACUGAACAAUUCCAGAAAUUAAUUAUUCAAAUUUUGUAUUUCUUUUCCCACUCUGCAUUUCUGCUGGGUUGUUAUAGCGCCUCUUGAUCUGAUUGUAUAUAUAAAUACCCAUGAGGCCUCUGAUUGUGUAUGAUUUAAUUGUGGUGGGAACUUCACUUCACACAGGACUUGGCAAGCAAGUCGAUGUUUCAGUAAUUUGUUGGUUAUCUGAAGCCUGUAUUGCAAGCAUUAGUGCCUGGUAUGAAGCACUCGUUUCAGUCUCUUAAGAUAUGCCAUGUAGAAACCCGGAGAUCAUUUAUGUACCCUUUAUGUUGGUAUGUGUUUGCUUGAAUUCCAAAUACUUGGAGGGUGUUGAUAUGUUUAAACUCAACUUUAAGAACUUGAAAGGGAAGAUGGGGGUCUGUUGUGUGAACAAAAAUUUAUUAGGUAGUCAAAAUAUAAAGCUUCUGUUGGUCAGAUUUUUGGUGUAUUUGAUUAGAGUCCUUCUGUACAGCCGAGGACGUGACUUUUUUUAAAAUACAAGGGAAACCAGCUGACCUGGUCAACAAGUAAACGAUUUCACGAGCUGCUGCUAAGGUGAACAGGUAAACGAUUUCACAUGCACACUCAGUUGACGUUCUUCUUCCGCAAAGUGGUAUGCUUCAACUUCAAACUGAUAAUCUUCAUCAUCUUCAAAGUCAUUUUCUUCAACUCCUCUUCUGUAGAAAGUUUCUUCCUCCUUUCUGCAACCUCUCUCUCUCUUCUUUGACAUCAUUGUCAAAAACCACCUAUUCUAGGGUUUGAAUUUUGGGGAAAAUUUUAGGGGUUAGCAUUUUGGGUUCAUAAUAGGAAUUGGAAUUCAGUUUUUCCAGUCACUGGUGGGUUAUUGGCACUCCUCUCGUCUGCAAUCGAGCCCUUGUGAAAGCAUUUGGUAUUAGUUCCUUGUGAAGGUAAGUUAACAUUGUUUUAUGGUAUUGUUAAUUGAAAUUCUGUGGUGAUGACUUGGGGCAAGAGGGGAAGUAGGUUUCUCACAUUCAUGAGAUGAAGUGGGUUUGUCAUUUUGAAAGUGUCGUGAAGUGAAGUGGGUAUCUCACAUUCAUGGUUGUAAUGUUCAUGCAAUUGCAUAUCUCUAUAUGCAAUUACUAAUAGCCUGUAUGCAAAUCCAAGUCAUUGAAUGCAAUUAGAGUAUAUAGUUUUGUUUUCAAAUUAUGCAAGUGAGGUGAUUUCGUGGUAGGUAGGUAGGUUUGACUGUGUUUUUGAAUAAUUUGUUAUAGGGAGUAAAGUGUUCCGAAAGUGUAAUGUUAGGCUUCGUUAAGAUUUGGAUUGGGAUUUGAAAUGAGUAAGAAUCUCGGCCCAAUAGAGAAAUGCAUGUGUGGGUUGUGUGCAUUAUCUAUGCAAUGUUAUAAUCGAGGGCUGAUGCACUUGCAAGUAGUAUCGAGCAAUUGCAUAUCAGUAUAUGCAAUUACUAAGCAACUGUAUGCAAAUCCAGGUCGCCGUAUUUUUUUAAUUAAGCAAUGUGAUGUUGUGGUGUUUACGGGGUUUAGGGGGUAUUAGGCUUUGGAUUAGUAUUCAAAUUCUCGGCGCUAGAGACAAUUGCAUGAUAGUAUUUUGUACUUGAUUUGUGCAAGUUAUGGAAGCUCAAAAAAGGGGAUCAACAAAAGGAAAGCGCAAAGUCGACAGUAAUGUGCAACAAUCAAGAGUUGGCCGAGAUGCAUUUUUUAAUUUCAUGUAAGUUACACGUACAUCUAAAAAUCGGAAAUGUAGUUGCUUAAUAUUAUGAUGGUUUUUUGAUUAAAAAUAAAUGAUUUACAAAAAAAAAAAAAAAGACAUAAAAUGGGGAAAGUGGCAAAUGCAAAGUUGGACAAUAAGGUGAGAGAUGGCAAUGGAUUGGGUUAGUUUAUUAAUUAUUUUAUUAAAAAGGCUCUUUUAAUGAGAUUUUUUUUUCCAGGUACAAGAAGAGAUUGCUAAUAAAUGGAGGAAAUUAAAUCUUAAAGAGAAGGCUACAUAUGAUUCUGCCUUGGAAGGUUCGAGUGGGCAAGUAAACGACUCAGUGAAUGAGAAGGGUUUUAUCACUAGAUGCAGCCCGGACCGAUUCCAAAAAACAUGCGUCUAAAGGAAGUAAGGGAGUUCGUUCGAAGAGUUGUCGACGAACAACUUGACAAGUUGGCCGAACAUGGUCCCUUCAUCCCUCAUCAUCCCAUCGCAAGGAAGCCAAUAACACGCUCCCAAGCAAAGUAGAAAGUUUGACAGUAAGUCAUAAGGGUUUAUAGUUUACAAAUUAGGUGUAAUUGCAUGUAUAUAUCCCUAUUUGCGCACAGUCAGGGUUCUUUUGUAGUAUAGCAAGUGCAAUUGCAUGACACGACCGUCGCACGUCAUGUAAUUCCAUUAUUCGCUUACAAAUGGUUUUUUGGUUUUCUUCACGACAUCGAAACAUUUCACGACCAGAUUGAACCGCCUAGUUUCAUUUGUUUGCUAUGGUACAUGUCUUGUUUCAAUAUUCAUCCACUAUAAUUCUAUUUUAUUUCUAUUACUUUGUAUUUAGAUAUAAUUUAGAUAUAAUAAAUAUAAGUAUAUAUUGAUUUUAGACAUACUGUAAAUCUAAACUAUUUACUCGAGACCUGAAUCCAAUUUCUUCACCUCACAGAGAUAAGGCCAAGGAUUACAAUAUCAACCAUGUAAAUAAUAUAGGGCCUCCAAUUUACGGAUAUUUCGGGGGAUAUAUUAUUAUCGUCUUAGGUAUCGGAAAAAAAAAAAAAAAGACAUAUAGGUAUUGAAACACAUAAUUUUGGUAUAAAACUUUCAUAAAUGUUAUGUACAUUAUCAAUGAAUGUAUUGAACAAAUAAAACUCAAAAUUUACUAAUACUAAGAUAUACAUAUGAUGAAAUAUAAGUGGUAUGUAAUGCGUGUUAAUGAAAAGUUUGAAAAUAAAAUGUUGAUUAGAAUGAAUAAACCAUGCAUAAAUCCAUAGUUUGUUUUAACAUUGGAUUACAAUUUAGAUAAGUGUCCAUCUACAUAAAUGAAGAGCUCCAAUGAGGUUCAAACAAUGAGGAACAACCAUCUAGAUUCAUACAAUAGUCAUACCAAGUUACGUAACCCGAGCAGUUUGUAAGCCAUGUUUGAACAUGGUGCACAUAGGUCUCGCUUGAGCUCUCUACUAUCUUCCCAUAUAUGAGAUAGUUAAGAUUAACCCAACUAGUAGAAAAGGGCGGCCCUGAAAUAGUGCAAGUGGCGCCAAUACACAGGGCCCCUGAUUUUUGAGGACCCCCUAAAUUUUUUUAUUUUACAUAAUUUAUAUUAAUAUUAUAACAACUGUAUAUAUACUCCAACGUGCAACAAAUUGACACAAAAAUUUAUUUAGUGGAGUUGGUUUCUAGUGCAUAUCCCUUGGUACAAGGCUUACAUGAAAAAUUUUAAGAACCACAUUUUAAAUAGUUUUAAAAAAGAAGCACCUGAAAAAUAUCAGGGGAAAGAUCCAGUUAAAUUAACAAUACUAUAUAUCACCCAUACGCUUUUUCUUUAAAAAAUAAUAAUAAUAAUUCCUUCGACUCAAAACAAAACAAAACAACAUAAAAAAUAAAAAAUCAUGUCUUCUUCUUUCUCAUGAACUCUUAUUUUUUUUCUUACCGAACACACCAACAUUUAACUUUAUCAAAUGAACACAACGUACUCAACAAACGCAACCAUUGCGUUCGCGUGAAAAAUAGUGUGUUUGUUUGAAAAAGAAGGUUAGUGGGGUCCAUUUUCCUGAGGAACGGGCAACUUUACUCUACGAACGCACUCCUUGCAUUCGCAUGAAUAAAUAUCCCGUUUGUUUGAAAAAGUAAGUUUAUUUGGCCCAUUUUUCCGGGGAAUGGGCAACUUUACUCAACGAACGCAACCUCAGCGUUCGAGUGAACAAAUAGCCCGUUUGUUUGAAAAAUUAAGUUAGUUGGACCCAUUUUUCCGGGGAAUGGGCAACUUUACUCAACAAACGCAACCUCUAUAGCCCGUUUGUUUGAAAAAUUAAGUUAGUUUGGCCUAUUUUUUCGGGGAACGGGCAACUUUACUUAACAAACACAACCCCUGCGUUCGCGUGAACAAAUAGUCUGUUUGUUUGAAAAAGUAAGUUAGUUGGGCCCUUUUUUUAGGAAACGGACAACUUUACUCCACGAACGCAACCCAUUGCGUUCGCGUGAACAAAAAGCCUGUUUGUUUGAAAAAGUAAGUUAUUGGGCCAAUUUUUUCUAAGAACGAGCAACUUUACUCAAUGAACGCAAUCCCUGCGUUUACAUGAACAAAUAGCCUGUUUGUUUGAAAAAGUAAUUAGUUUGGCCAUUUUUUCAAGGAACGGGGAACUUUACUCAACGAACGCAACCCCUGCAUUCGCGUGAACAAAUAACUUGUUUUCUUGAAAAAGUAGGUUAGUUGGGCCCAUUUUUCCGGAGAACGGACAACUUUACUCAAUGAACGCAACCCAUUGCGUUCGCGUGAACAAAUAGCCCGUUUGUUUGAAAAAGUAAGUUAGUUGGGCUCAUUUUUCCGGGGAACGAGCAACUUUACUCAACGAACGUAACCCCUGCGUUUAUGUGAACAAAUAGCCCGUUUGUUUCAAAAAGUAAGUUAGUUGGGCUCAUUUUUCCGAGGAACGAGCAACUUUACUCAACGAACGUAACACCUGCGUUUAUGUGAACAAAUAGCCCGUUUGUUUGAAAAAGUAAGUUAGUUUGGCCCAUUUUUUCAGGGAACGGGAAACUUUACUCAACGAACGCAACCCCUGUGUUCGCAUGAACAAAUAGCCCGUUUGUUUGAAAAAGUAAGUUAGUUGGGCCCAUUUUUCUAGGGAACGGACAACUUUACUCAACGAAUGCAACCCCUGCGUUCGCAUGAACAAAUAGCCAGUUUGUUUGAAAAAGUAAGUUCGUUUGGCCCAUUUUUUCGAGGAACGGGCAACUUUACUCAACGAACGCAACCCUUGCGUUUACGUGAACAAAUAGCCCGUUUGUUUGAAAAAGUAAGUUAGUUGUGCCCAUUUUUCGUGGAACAAGCAAGUUUAUUCAACAAACGCAACCCCUGCGUUUACGUGAACAAAUAACUCGUUUGUUUGAAAAAGUAAGUUAGUUUGGCCAAGUUUUUCCGGGGAACGGAUAACUUUACUCAACGAACGCAAACCCAAUGUUCGUGUGAACAAAUAGCCCGUUUGUUUGAAAAAGUAAGUUAGUUGUGCCCAUUUUUCGUGGAACAUGCAAGUUUAUUCAACAAACGCAACCCUUGCGUUUACGUGAACAAAUAGCCCGUUUGUUUGAAAGUUUGGCCCAUUUUUCCGGGGAAUGACCAACUUUACUCAACGAACGCAACCUCUGCGUUCGCGUGAACAAAUAGCUCGUUUGUUUGAAAAAGUAAGUUAGUUGGGCCCAUUUUUUCGGGAACGGACAACUUUACUCAACGAACGCAAUCUCUUGCGUUCGUGUGAACAAAUAGCCCGUUUGUUUGAGAAAGUAAGUUAGUUGGGGCCAUUUUUCCGCAGAAUGGGCAACUUUACUCAACGAACGCAACCCUUGUAUUUGCGUGAACAAAUAGCCCAUUUGUUUGAAAAAGUAAGUUAGUUAUGGCUAUUUUUCCGGACAAUGUGUAUUACAACGUAAUUUCGAUAAUGGGUCAUUUUGUAAUAUAAUAUGUUCGCCUUAUUGCCCAUUACCGUUUCUUAUGCUCCGUAUUUCGGUUAAUUUCGACCUUCGAUUUAUAGUUCAAAAAACAGGUGUAAUUAUGCCUGUACAAAAGAGUAUGAUUCAAUUUUCUGAACAAUUAAGGGUUUGCGCACAGAAGGACUUGCAUUGCAGCAUUGUCAUGCAAUUGCAUGUGCUAAAGGCAAAUACCGACCCCCUGUGUGCAAACUGAACAAAGCUUAACAACGCUAUGCUGAUUAAUGUAUAGCGCAAUGACAAACAAAACCAAGCACAGACUUUAUUAUGACCCUAUGUCUAUUAUUCAAUAUUAGGGUUAAUGACAUUGUGUUGUACACAAUUCGGGAUCUACCCUCAAGUCAUUUGUGGUACAUGACAAUGUGUAGUACAACGUAAUUUCGAUAAUUGGUCGUUUUGUAAUAUAAUAUGUUCGCCUUAUUGCCCAUUACCGUUUCUCAUGCUCCGUAUUUCGGUUAAUUUCGACCUUCGAUUUAUAGUUCAAAAAACAUGUGUAAUUAUGCCUGUACAAAAGAGUCUGAUUCAUUUUUCCGAACAAUUAGGGGUUUGCGCACAAAAGGACUUGCAUUGCAGCAUCAUCAUGCAAUUGCAUGUGUUAAAUGCAAAUACGGACCCCCUGUGUGCAAAGUGAACAAAUCUUAACAACGCUAUGCGGAUUAAUGUAUAGCGCAAAGACAAACAAAACCAAGCAAACACUUAGUUGCCCCUAUGUCUCUUAUUCAAUAUUAGGGUUAAUGACAUUGUCUUUUACACAAUUCGGGAUCUACCCUCAAGUCAUUUGUGCUACAUGACAAUGUGUAGUACAACGUAAUUUCGAUAAUUGGUUGUUUUGUAAUAUAAUAUGUUCGGCUUAUUUGCAUUACCGUUUCUCAUGCUCCGUAUUUCAGUUCAUUUCAACCUUCGAUUUAUAGUUCAAAAAACAGGUGUAAUUAUGCUUGUACAAAAGAGUAUGAUUCAAAUUUUCUGAACAAUUAGGGGUUUGCGCACAGAAGCACUUGCAUUGCAUCAUCGGCAUGCAAUUGCAUGUGUUAAAUGCAAAUACCGACCCCCUGUGUGCAAACUGAACAAAGUUUAACAACGCUAUGCUGGUUAAUGAAUGUAUAUACCAAAGAACAACAAAGCUUAACAACGGUAUGCUGAUUAAUGCUGAUUAAUGAAUGUAUAAUAUUAAUUGUUACAUGUAAACCAAGUUCGAAAACUACAAUUGUUUUGGGUUGAACCAGUACAUAGGGAAUUAGGUUCCCCAUUGUCGAAUGAGAAACCAUCGUCACUGUUGGGGGUAGAACCAGUUGGGUCUGCAGUAGAAAAACUAUCAGAACCAGGUAAAUCAACCACAUAGUUCCCAUGGCAUUGAGAAACUGUUUGACUAGGAUAACUGUAGCUAAUGUCCGGGAACGGCCGGAUAUCAGAAGUAUACUGAUAUCCUUCACUACCUGAUGAGAUAUUCACACAUGCAUGUCUACUUGGAUGCAAAUUUCUUUGAGAGCAAUUAAAAGAGCAAAUUUCUUUUAAUUGCACCACGUAUAACUGUUUCGCAACAAAAAACAUGCAAUUGCAUCAACUCAGUACCCAAAAUACAUUCAAGUCCUAAACCAGAAAAUAGGGUUCUUUGAAAUCUUACUUGAUGUUUCCAUACUUUCAAAGCCUCCUCCUUUCACUUCCUUUUGCCACCACCUCAAAUUUCGUCGUUAACACCCAAGGAUCUUCAAAAUCUUUACAACCACGUUAUUAUUACAAAUCCAUUCCCCUGCAACAUUUUAAUUAUAUAUCAGACAAUGCCAACAGCCCAUACUAAAUUACUUAAAUCCCUCCAAUUUGGUGACCAUUUCAUCAUGGAGGUUGGACCCACCAUCAAUUUUGUAUCUGCAUAUCAGUUUUGGGCAACUAGAGAGAAGAGUUGAGGACCUCAAUUCUAUUACCAUUACCUUCUUGCAGAUGCGUUUUGCCCAAGCACAGACAGGAGUUGCUAAGGAUUGGAUUUGGGCAAGCACAGAGAAGAGCUCCUGGAAGCGCUACGGAUUGGAUGGGCUUCAUGUACAGUUUCCUCUGGUGCUGUGACUUCUGUAAGCCCCCCUUCACUUCAGAUGAAAGGGCUAAAGCCCGACUCUCUACUGCCCCGAAAAUUCAGUAUUCACUGAGGUAGACAGGAAAUGGGGUCUCACAGAGUCCUCUAGUUCCCUAUGUUGUGUUCGAUUUGGGAAACCAGAUGGAGCGGACUUGGCGCGUCUUCUUCUCCUCCAAACCUGCCUUUCUCUUUCCUCACAUGCCACUCACAUGCUGAAUCACAAAGGCUGAACAGGUCAUUAAGUCAUUGAAUCUCAGCCAUCCUUUUUUAACAUGGAACCUCAACCGUUGGAUAGCCGGCUGUACCGGUACAGCUGAGGCACCACAGAAUUCUCGCUUUUUGAAGAAGCUCAGCCAAGGUGAUGUGGCCUCUUGUCCCUUCAUAUCAAAAUAUAUAUUUGCAUAGAUCAAUAAGUUUUUCUGGCCUAGACUAUGGACAAUCAAGUCUAGUUGGCCAAAUGACCAUUUGGCUGGCCAAUUAAUAUUUUAAUAUCCUAAAUUCUUUAUGUCAGAAUGCCAUUUAACAUGCCCGCCAGCUACUAUCUUCUCAGCCACACUUCUCCAGCCAACUUAAAAGAUCAUCUUUGGCCAUUUGUUCGUGCUAAUAUAUAUAUAAUAAUAAUAAUGCAUUAUUAUAUUGUGCAUAGACUUGGCAUUCAUCGAUUCUAGCCCUCAAACCGCAUGCAUCCCCAGGCUACCAAAAUCUCAUUCAUUUGUUCACAAAACCAUUGGCCUUAAGAAAGGGCCCCACAUUUUAUUGUUAGGUGCUUAAGACCUCCAACUUCUAAGGGAAGUCACAGCCAUCUAACUCCUCCAAGUCAAUACCCAGCAACAAUUGCAAAUGGGUUUUGUGCUGUGGUGAAGACAAACGAGACCCACUUUCCUCAUUGGGUUCAAUAAACCUCAGCUGUCUCACCUCGCUUGUGAAGCUUUGUCACUUAGCUAUUUUACUUUGAAGCUCACAAAGCAGAGCUGAAAACCCCACAGGGCCUCAAAUUUCCAAUCGCAUCGUUCUCAAGCCAAUAUCCAGCAACCAAGAUUCCAUGAAGAAAAGUGAGUUGACCUUCCUUCUUUAAUCUUCAAGUUAAACAACAGCAUCCCAUUUUCCUUAUAUAUAUAUAUAUGUUAUUAUUUGAAAGGAUUUUAAAUUUUAAAACGUUUUUAUUUUCUGUUUUAAUUUUUGGUUGGUUUCCUUUAUUUAUUAUAGGAGUUACAAAUUGUUUAAUUUUCAGUUUUUAUUUUCUAUUCAUUGCCACCAACUUUUAUGGUUAAAUGUGUUUGGAGGUUACGAGUUUUGGAUGCCUAUAAAAGGCCACUCCUCCUUCACAUUUCAUAUAACACAAUCAGAUUUCUCUAUUCUCAUACUUUCACAUAUUCCAUACUUUCUAUAUUAUUUUUGGGCAACGGUUCUGUGGCUUGGAGUUUUCUAUCCGACUGUGAACGUGCUCAUAGCGGAUCUUAAGCCUGUGUAUUGGGGUCGUAUCUUGGAGUCUUGUAGACCGUCAUUACCUGCACGUAGGGAGGCUACAAAGGCUUUAGGACAGCGUCUUUGACGUGCUUUCACUAUACCAGGCUUGCUUUCUUAAUCUUAACUUGUUUUAUUUAUUUGUUUACUUGGCUCUUUAUUUUACUUUAUUGUUUAAUAUUUAUUUUAUAUAUUAUUUAUAUCUAAAAGUUUUGAAUAAGAAUUUUAUAAAAAGGGAAAAACCACUAUUUUAAUAACAAUAUAUAUAUAUAUAUAUUUAAAUCUAGCUGUUGGGCUUUAGGAAUACGAUCGUGUCGCAAGAACUUGAUUUGAUGGGGUGGACUCAACCUGGCUGUUUUAAGGUCUCACAAGUGAGUGGUGAGUCAAGUCCAAAAUCUUGGAUUAUCUUAGCUGAUUAUUUAUUCCAAAUCCAACUCAUUGGAUUUUAUCGAACUUUUUUGCCAUUUGUUUAUUGGCUAGGCCUUGUGGAGCUGAAUAUCACUUGACUUGGUUGGAAUUUGGUGACCAUAUACAAACAGGCUUAUAAGUAGUUAGGCUACUCCGUUCAAUGCCAAUUGCUUUUCGUGUGGGACCUCAAUUUCGUUCAUGGUAUCAGAGCAGGUUAUCCACGUGUUGGACUCAACAGCCACACGUGCUCCCAUGUCACACAAUAUGUGUUGUCUAAAUGUUAGCUUCAAAGUUCGCUACACAUUUGGGGGCAUGCUAACAAUUUGUCCUACAUUGAAGAGUUAAAGGAGCUAACAUAGGCUUAUAAGAAGUUAAAUCACUCCCUUCAUUGUUGAUUGGUUUUUCAUAUUAUUAGAGUACGCUAUCCUAAUUUCAAAAAAUAUGAAUUUGUGACAUGAGGACUAAAACGUGAUUUAUGUUCCGUGAAUGUGCUGAUGUUUAGUGAGGGACUUAUUCUUUCAAACAAAUAUGUUACGUGUUUUUGAAUAUUUUCAAAAGUUAUUAAGGAUUAAAGAAUAAUUGCAAGGGGUUUGGACAUAGCUCAAGUGGUUAAGAUUCAAGAGCAUUUACCUCUACAUCCAAAGUUUUAAGUUCGAUUUUUCAAUAUCACCUGUAUCCAAAAAAGACAAAAAGAAAAAGAAAAAGAGAAUAAUUGAAUACAACAUUAAUGAACAAUCUAACUACAUCACUUUAAAAACAAUAGAUAACCGUAACACCUAAACAAUCGAGGUCAUUUAGACUCAAGGCCAUCAAACUCAACGCUCACCUAGGACUCAAGACCAUACACUUUAGAUACCGACGAUGGUCGUUGGAUCCCUGAUCUAAAACUCAUAUUGGCUUGUACAUCGCUUAGCUGGUGAUUCGGAUUGUUUCCAUGUCGACAAUGAAACUUAUCCCUAUCGUCUCUGGCCGACCUUGACCCUUAUUAUUUUGAGGUUUUUUUUAUCUUUUAUUUAUUCGUUUACAUAUUUAUUCACGAGACAUGAAAAGAAAACAAGCAUUUUUUUUUUUGUUUUUUUUUGUUUUUUGGUUGGGUCGAAGCAAAUAAGUUAUAUGCAUAUGACCAUACCAUAUUUCACAUAUUGCUGUGCUACUUAAUGGUUCAAGGUCUACACUUUCUUGAAACUUGGAUGUGUUUCCAACGAGACUCCAUGUAAAAGGAGUCAUUAUGCUGGGCGUAUACACCACAUUUGAAUGCAUGAGAUGUGCCUCCACGACCAUCUGCCUCUAAUUUGAGACAUCCAUCAAUGUAAACCUUCACUUUUGCAGCUUCAACAUCGUGAAUCACAUUCAACUUGAACCAUUUGUCAUAGAUGUUUGGUACCAACACUGGACCCGUGUAGUACAUGAGUGAACCAUUGUAAACCCCAAGCAUUAGAGUUGUGGCAUGAGGAGCACUUGCUCCAAACACUUGCAUUAUGCACACACUUGAUGUCCCAUAUGGUACAUAGCCAUAUGCUUCAAAUUCCCACACCCCGGAAGAGUAAUUGUAUCCCUGCAAUACAUACAAAGAGUUAAUGUUCUGUGAAUGUGGACCAUUGAUCAUGUUGAAUUUUGACAUAAUGUAAUGUGCGGUCUAAACAAUUGUAACAUUAGUUUGUUAAGAGAAUCUUACUUGUAUGGCAAUCUCAGUACGGGGCAUGGUUUGGCUGGUAGUAGUGUGAGGUUUGUCUGUAGAGUAGACCCAACAUUUAUGAAUUCCAUCGACGAAGCUGUAGCGCUGCUCUUCGGGGACAUCAUAAGGCUUCUGAAUAUGGUAGUAUGAUCGGUUAAAAGGGAGGGAGACAAAGCCUUGUGUAGGAACAUCAGGUCCCCAAGCUAAGGCUUGGAGUAGAAUGGGCUGAAGAAAGCUGAUCAUCAAGCAGAAGAAACCUAGCAACUGAAAAGAAGAGUCAUAUGCCAUUCUUUUCUGAAGAAGACUAUCGAAAAUAUUGCAUAUAGGUUGGAGUGGUUGAAAUACAUAUAUAUAGAGUGAUAUGACAAGUAUACUCACACGGAGCCAAACCACAAUGUGAGACUAUUCUUCAACACUUCUCCUCACGUAGAUUCCUCUCUUUUAAAAUGAUAAUACAUGGGAGCAACUAGUCCAGGUGAUUGUAUAAUCAUACCAGAAAUUAAUGGUGGUUAAAAACGAGUGCUGUUUAUAGAAGUAAAAACCGUACUGAAUGUGCACUAUUAUAUUAAAAUUAUAACAAUAUUACAACCAUCACAUUCUUAAGGGUUCCCGUCAAACAGAAACAAACAACAAAGAUAUAAAGAAACAAUAAAAUUUAUAUUUACAAACUUACAAAAAUAUAUAGGGUAAUGUUCUUUCAAAAGUCUAGCAUGUGAUGUUAAAGUUAACCUAACAAGCAAUAGUCUAGAGUAAGAAUCAGAACAUUCCCGGAAAAAAACACAACAAUUAUUAGUUUAGUUAGGAGUUCAAGUCAAGACUCGGAGUGCUAGGUCUAGCCCAAAAGAAAAGGAAAAAAAAACUGGACAGAUGACAGGAAACAAAAUCCAAAACAAUAGAGACAAGAAAAUAUAAUUGGAAAAAAAGUAGGUGAUAGUUGAUUAAGAUGCUAUUGAGCAUUAACGUCAACCGAAAAGGUGGAGAUGAAUUUAAUUAGACAGCCGCUACAACCAUAGUUGUCCAGGGCAACAAACUUUCUUAUGCUGCCUCCCCCUCUAAACAUUGCUUGUUUAUUUGUUUAAGAGAGCCUCUCAAAGCAAAGCAUGUCAAGCUAUCCCUAGCUUGCAGCCAAGGGCUCAAAGCCAACUAGUACCUGAGGACUUUUCGACAUCGAUCACAAACCGAUACCUGACAUUCGAUUUGGCGAGCCGUGCCAUUGCUGUUUUAAUGUAAUCCAUUGGGAUGAGCUCAAUGACAUGCCAAGAUUAGAAAAAAUAAGGACGUCCGCAUUAGAUGACUACAUAAAUCUACAUUAUUUUUUUCCAAGACUGCAUUAAUCUAUGUAGGGUAGUAGUCUUUUUCCAAAUAAAUGACAUGUUAUGUUACUAAAUUAUUAAUUGAGAAAGCAUAUCUAGUCUAGAUUAACAAUUUCACAAUCUCGCAACAUAACAUGUAAAAUUAUUUCACAAGAGAAUUUUUCCCUCCAAGAACACAACGUUUAGGAUUGUGGGGCUUGGUUUAGCAAGGAAGUUAAAGUCACAGCGUCAUGAAGUCUCUUUCAUUUUUUCAGUCAAACACAGGGUCACAAAGACUAGGGGCCUUGGUUUGACCAAAAAAAGAGACAGAUCUCACGAAGGAACCAAAGCGCAAAACAAUAAAGACGAGAAAUAUAAUUGCACAAAGAGUAGGUGAAAGUUGAUUCACAUCAUAAACGUCAACCGAAAGGGUGGAAGACCAAUUUAACUAGACGGGUUCAACCAUAAAGUGUCCAGCACAAAAAGGUUUCUGAUGUAACCUCCAUAAACCCUAAGGUGGAAGAUCAAUUUAUCACCAAUACAAUAAUUAACCAUUACUUAUUUUAAUGAGAGUCUGAAAGCAUGUGAAGCUAGCAGUAAAGCCAUCACAGCCAAUCUACUGAGUCAAGGAGUUCCCCACAUCGAUCACAAACCGAUACCGGACAUCAGAUUUGGCAAUUCUUUCCAUCGCAGUGUUAAUGUAAUCCAUUCUAAUCAGCUCGAUGUCUGAGGUAAUAUUGUGCUUGGCACAAAAGUCAAGCAUCUCCUGCGUCUCUUUCACCCCUCCUAUGUCACUUCCCCCUACAAGCUUCCGUCCUGAAAGCCAUGACAAGAUUAGAGGAUAUUACAGAAACUGAACAGUAGAUUAUGUUUCUAGAACACAUGAUACAGAAUUCGAGCAUUAGUUCAUGUUUCUAGAGCCCCUUGCAUUCUACUAGGAUAGGCGGAGACAAGCACCAAACAAACAUAAACACCACCAAAAGAAAGCAUAAGCAAUUUGUUAAUAUCUGUUUGGAAAUCAGGGAUUGAUCAGGCAAUUUAACACUUCGUGUUUCUCCUGAAUAGAAUAUCCCCAUCAUAACGUCUUAGGCACAAUGCCCACGAAAAGCUAUAAGCCUGGAAAUAAGUUAAAAGUUGCACAUUGAUGCAUCCUCCUCCUAAUAGAAAAAUUCAGUCUUUGUUGUUAUAAAACAAAACAAUGAAGUGUUUGUGGUCAGAUAGGCAUACCCAAAACUAAGGGAAAGAUUGGCAACUCCAGGGGCUUGUCAGGCAAACCCACCGUGACCAGCUUCCCAUUCAGCUUCAGUAGACCAAUUAAUGGAGCCAACGCAUGAACUGCAGACACCGUGUCAAUGAUGUAAUCCAUGGUACCCAUUGCUGCCUGCAUAGUAAAAGCAGGAAACAGCAAAAUAUUAGGGUAAAUCACUAAAUAUUCUAGACCUUCUGAGAAGAGGAACCAAAAAAUAAACAUUAUGGAAUCAAUCUGCAGAACAACGUAUAAUGUGGAGUUGUUGAGGUAGGUCAUAUCAAAGAUCUGAGAUUUGUUCGCAGCAUUGCACCUAGAUGUUUCAUUUCUUGUAUUAUUUACCACUAGCCUCUUUGCACUGGUGCAUGAAGGGUGACUAACUAAACUGUUAUUGACUUCGAGGAUGACUAACUAAAUUGAUAAGUAUUGAGGGUAGUGGGAAAGAAAGCUAAGAACGGUUAUAUUUUACUAUAAAUUUGUAAACUAUUUCAAUGGAAUAUUUUACUCUUGUUAUAUAAAUUGGUUUGUUGUAGCCAUUUCUUAAGUGGAGCAUGUUAAGGGAUUUUGUAAGUUUCAUGGUUCCUCCUUGUAGAUAUAGAUUACCUUCAAUUUUGCAGGGUCACUUGAGAGGAGAAAAGAAUCAGCUCCAAGUCUCUUAACAGCCUCAUCCUCCUUUCCUGGGGAGGAACUGAUGACAGUCACUUUCAAACCAAAAGCCUUACCAAUCUUCACAGCCACAUGACCAAGCCCACCAAGUCCUGCCACACCCAAAUGCUUUCCAGGCUCAGUCAUGCCAUAAUAUUUCAUUGGACUGUACACAGUGAUCCCAGCACAUAAAAGUGGUGCACCCGCAUCAAGGGCUAAGUUAUCUGGAAAGCGGAGCACAUAGCGAUGGUGAACAACAAUCAUAUCGGAAUAACCACCAUAAGUUUUUGUUCGGUCGUGAUCAAGUGAGUUAUAGGUAAAUAUUGUUCGAGGGCAGUAGUUCUCUAAGUCCUGGUCGCAGGUCUCACAUUUCAUGCAGGAACCUACUAUGACCCCAACUCCUACACGAUCACCUACUUUGAAUUUCUCCACAUUCUUCCCAGCUUUGGUCACAACACCAACAAUUUCAUGCCUGG
rnacentral:lncRNA from 1 species